rnacentral:rRNA from 1 species
UACAGAGGUGGCAAGCGUUGUUCGGAAUUACUGGGCGUAAAGGGCGCGUAGGCGGCCUUCUAAGUCAGACGUGAAAUCCCCCGGCUUAACCUGGGAACUGCGUCUGAUACUGGGAGGCUAGAGUGCGGGAGAGGGAUGCGGAAUUCCAGGUGUAGCGGUGAAAUGCGUAGAUAUCUGGAGGAAUACCGGUGGCGAAGGCGGCAUCCUGGACCGGCAUUGACGCUGAGGAGCGAAAGCGUGGGGAGCGAACAGG